GGAUAUGAGGGCGAUCUGGCUGCGGCAUCUGUCACCCCAUUGAUCGCCAGGGUUGAUUCGGCUGAUCUGGCUGGCUAGGCGGGUGUCCCCUUCCUCCCUCACCGCUCCAUGUGCGUCCCUCCCGAAGCAGCGCGCUCGGUCGAAGAGGACGACCAUCCCCGAUAGAGGAGGACCGUUCUUCGGUCAAGGGUGUACGAGUAGCUGCGCUCCCCUGCUAGAACCUCCAAAAAUGGGGACAUUCUACGAAGAAAUUGGUCAAUACUCUUUAAAAUUCUCAAGGGCUGGGGCUGGGAAUGUAACUGAGUAGUAGAGAAAUUGCCUAGUACGUUCAGGGCCCCGAGUUUGAUCCCCAGCAUUACAA
rnacentral:sRNA from 1 species